CUUGUCAGCCACUGUAGUCACUGCAUUGUAUAUGGCCACCAGUCUUCAGGGACUUUGCCUGACCACCAGAACUUUUCAAAUAUGAUGGAGAAUGGCUUGGGAAAAAUAUCAUCCAAUUCCCUCAGGACCCUGGAAUGCAUCUCAUCGGGCCUUAUAGACUCACACCUAUUUAGUUUCAUCAUGUGAUAUCACACCUGCUCUUCACUGCCAACGGAAAACACAGACAUGACAAGAUGAGAAUAAACAAGAAAGGAGACAAGAAAAAAGCUUGCAGCAUUCCUCAGGGGCAAGACUACAAAGUUAAUAAAAUUUUUAUGGAGACACUAGAGAUUUAAGUGCUGCUGGAUACUCACCCACCUUCGGCACCUCUGAAGGUGAAUAAUAAACACUACACUGAGCAAUACAGCAUGGUGCAGGUACUUAUAAGCUCAGGGUGAAGGAGCUACCUA